rnacentral:rRNA from 1 species
AUACGAAAGUUGCAAGCGUUGUUCGGAUUUACUGGGCGUAAAGAGAGUGUAGGUUGUUUAUUAAGUCGGAUGUGAAAUCCCGGGGCUCAACCUCGGAACUGCAUUCGAUACUGGUAGACUAGAGUUCGGGAGGGGUAAGCGGAAUUCCGUGUGUAGCAGUGAAAUGCGUAGAUAUACGGAGGAACACCUGAGGCGAAGGCGGCUUACUGGACCGAUACUGACACUGAGACUCGAAAGCGUGGGUAGCAAACAGGAUUAGAAACCCGAGUAGUCC